rnacentral:rRNA from 1 species
AUUGAACGCUGGCGGCAUGCUUUACACAUGCAAGUCGAGCGGCAGCGCGGGGGCAACCCUGGCGGCGAGCGGCGAACGGGUGAGUAAUGCAUCGGAACGUAUCCUCUUGUGGGGGAUAACCCACCGAAAGGUGGGCUAAUACCGCAUAAGCUCUGAGGAGGAAAGCGGGGGGACCGAAAGGCCUCGCGCUGGGAGGAGCGGCCGAUGUCCGAUUAGCUAGUUGGUGAGGUAAAGGCUCACCAAGGCGACGAUCGGUAGCUGGUCUGAGAGGAUGAUCAGCCACACUGGGACUGAGACACGGCCCAGACUCCUACGGGAGGCAGCAGUGGGGAAUAUUGCGCAAUGGAGGAAACUCUGACGCAGCCAUGUCGCGUGAAUGAAGAAGGCCUUAGGGUUGUAAAAUUCUUUCAGAUGCGAAGAUAAUGACGGUACCAUCAGAAGAAGCUCCGGCUAAAUUCGUGCCAGCAGCCGCGGU